rnacentral:misc_RNA from 1 species
AGUUCUUGGCGAAUGACUCCUCCCUAAAAGAAAAAAGAAGAAAAAUGAGACUGAUUAGCAUAUAACGAGAUAUACGACUUUUUUUUUCUUUUUUUUUGGCGAUGGAGAUAUACUACUCUCCAUAUAUAAAUAUAGUAAGUUCUUUCUGAAAUUAAAUUCAAGAAAAUAUGAAAACAGGAAGGGAAGUAGGACGGAAAACAAAAAAAAAAAGACCAGUGGUCUAAUAUGUAGGGUAAAAAAAAAAUGUGGCAUUGCAAAACUAUAUCAAUAGAAACUGACAUUUAUGUUGUAUCAUAUCAUAACAACAUUGUUACUCAAUUGUGGUUUUAGGAUUAAAAUCUAUGAUAAAUGACAUUGACUUUUGAUUUCUUGUUCAUACUUGACCAUCAUCCCACCGUGUGACACAAAUUCGCACUUUCAAACGCCAUAAAAUCUAAAUGGAUUAGUUCAUCCUCCAGUGCUGUUACGCACCAGGUUUUGAAAUGGCUCCCAGGAUACUGCAUAAUUGCCUAAUUACCAACUGUUAAUUCCAACUCAAAAACAAAACCUAAUUAUGCUUUUUGUGAUGUCCAAAUGGGUGUAUAUUGUGGCCCAAUUGAAGGAAGGAACUGUCUAGAGAAUAUUAAGAAUCAUAUUUCAGUUAAUGAGAUAAUAAAUUUUUGAUCUGGGAUGCUUUUCUACAUGGCCAAUAAUUGAAAUAUUUUGUCACAGAUAAUCAUGUUAAGAUGAUAACCAGGCAGCAGGAAAAAAAAAUCAGAAAAUUUCCAAGCAACAGCAUCUAGAAAGCCUGAAUCACCUUGGAAAAACUAUAUCAUAACAAUUUGAGCACUGAUGUACUCUCUUGAUCAACCUAGAGUUUUGGUUAUAAAUUCCAGUUUCAGGGAUAACAUAUAUCCAUAUUAAGAAUGGAGGGUCAAUUAUAGAUUAUUAACACAUCAAAUGAUGAACAUUUUCAACAGUUUGUAAUAAAAGGAAAGAAG